CAGUAGCCGCGGUAAUACGUAGGGUGCGAGCGUUAAUCGGAAUUACUGGGCGUAAAGCGUGCGCAGGCGGUUAUAUAAGACAGAUGUGAAAUCCCCGGGCUCAACCUGGGACCUGCAUUUGUGACCGUAUAGCUAGAGUACGGUAGAGGGGGAUGGAAUUCCGCGUGUAGCAGUGAAAUGCGUAGAUAUUCGGAGGAACACCGAUGGCGAAGGCAAUCCCCUGGACCUGUACUGACGCUCAUGCACGAAAGCGUGGGGAGCAAACAGGAUUAGAUACCCGCGUAGUCCCUGUCUCUUAUAC
rnacentral:rRNA from 1 species